GGUCGAUUAGCUCAGCUGGGAGAGCACCUCCCUUACAAGGAGGGGGUCACUGGUUCGAGCCCAGUAUCGA
rnacentral:tRNA from 1 species